rnacentral:rRNA from 1 species
AUUGAACGCUGGCGGCAUGCCUUACACAUGCAAGUCGAACGGCAGCACGGGUGCUUUCACCUGGUGGCGAGUGGCGAACGGGUGAGUAAUACAUCGGAACAUGUCCUGUUGAGGGGGAUAGCCCGGCGAAAGCCGGAUUAAUACCGCAUACUAUCUACGGAUGAAAGCGUGUGCCCUUCGGGCCUCGCGCUAUAGGGUUGGCCGAUGGCGGGUUAGCUAGUUGGUGGGGUAAAGGCCUACCAAGGCGACGAGCAGUAGCUGGUCUGUGAGGUCGACCAGCAACACUGGGACUGAGACACGGCCCAGACUCCUACGGGAGGCAGCAGUGGGGAAUUUUGGACAAUGGGGGAAAGCCUGAUCCAGCAAUGCCGCGUGUGUGAAGAAGGCCUUCGGGUUGUAAAGCACUUUUGUCCGGAAAGAAAUCCUUGGCCCUAAUACGGUCGGGGGAUGACGGUACCGGAAGAAUAAGCACCGGCUAACUACGUG